GUGUCUUUUAGUUGUAAAAAUGGGCCCUGUAGUCCUGCUGCCGCACCAAACAUAGUCCAAAGCGUAAAGGCAACAGGACAAGUGAUAAAAAGGUGUUCAAAGGAUUCAUGAACUGACCUCCCACAAUAUUAGGGAUGGCAAUGGGGAGGUGUGGGUGUCGGUGUGGAUUUUAAGCUAUACGAGGCAGGGUGAGUUAAAGUAAUUUUUGUUUUAAAUGAUGUGGUGUGGGUUGCAGGUAUAUGCGGGUUUAAAUUAAAAAAAAAAAAAAAUUAGUGUUAUUCUCGUGAAUAUACCUAAAAUUAUACGCAUUUUUUACUUAAAAUUUUAUGAUACUUAAAAUGACAUGUAUAACUCUAUAAAUAAAUAAUUUUAUAGCUUUUUUAAUAUCUCUAUUCAUUUUUUAAAAAAUAUAAUAUUUGAUCAUUACUUGUACACGUAAUACUUUUUGACAAUUUCUUAAUGAAAAGUGAUAUAAUAGAAAUUAGUUGUUAUUAUUUCCUAAUUGUAGAUUUGAAAAUAUUAUGAUUUCAAUGGAGUUACGAAUUUUUCAAAAAAAAAUAAAAAAUAAAAACAUGGGGCGGGGCGGGUAUGUGCGGGUAUGAGUGUGGGAUGGGUUUAUGCGAAUUUAAAGGUGAUACGGUGCAGUGCGAUUUUAAAAUUUGUGGGUUUAGAGAAAACCCACACCGCACCAUUGCCAUCCCUACACAAUAUUGACAAUUCGCAACCUCCACUAGACUUGUAAGAAAAUCCCCAAUUGGAAUCCUUUUCUCCCACAAUCUCCAAAAGAAAAAGGAACCUUAAAAAGAAUACCUUUCUCCCACAUAAGUUUAUACUCCUAAUGCAAAGUUCCAGGCUGUCUCAUAAUUUCCCAAGCACUGCUGGCAGAGAAUUUGCCUGAAUUGUGUAGCAUCCACCAAGGAAUGAAAAAGAUACAUUCUAGCAGACACAAAGCAUUGAAGAAUCUCCAGAUGCUCGCCUGGCCUUUGCCAAGUAGAUUAGAUUACAUAGAUUUUAACAUCUACUUCUUAAUAUGGAGAGACAGAUGUAGAGAUUCCAGUUUUGUGGGAGAACAGCAAAAGAACGCAAAAUUUAGCAUAUCCCCUGCCCAGACGGUAUUUUCAGUGAUUCUAAUUUAUUUAUAAAUCUUGUACGAACUAAUUCAUUUGGAAAUGUGGAGAUUCAAGUGCUUAUAAUCCAGUCGAUCUCAGAUUCGUGAACCUGACUGCUGAGAAUAUAACUGAGAAGCGUUAGGAAGGUUUGGAUUGGACCAGUUGAGUGAUUCCACUUUAAUUUCCAGCAUAGCAUCGAUGCUUUAAUCCCAAAAAUAAAUUUUACUGACACUUGAAGUUCAUUAUGCAAUGCUGUCAUCUCUACAUCUUUACAGUUCAAAUGUGUAAAUAUCAAUAACUUGUAAAUAGUUGUAAUCACACUCUGGGUAUUAAAUGAUCAGAAAUUUGAUCCUGUUUUUGAUCA